AGAUACAGCGCCGGGCCACGCGGGUGACAGCCGUGAGGGUGACGAGGAGAGGGACGAUCGAACGAUUCGGCGGAUGUCUUUCCGGCUGAUGGCUUUUCCAGCCGAGAGAGGGCGUGUAAAAAACGGCAGCAAUACCGUAACAGAGCA
rnacentral:ncRNA from 1 species